rnacentral:rRNA from 1 species
UACGAAGGGAGCUAGCGUUACUCGGAAUAACUGGGCGUAAAGCGCAUGUAGGCGGAACUACAAGUCAGGGGUGAAAUCCCGAGGCUCAACCUCGGAGUUGCCUUUGAAACUGUAGUUCUUGAGUGUGACAGAGGAUGGUGGAAUUUCCAGUGUAGAGGUGAAAUUCGUAGAUAUUGGAAAGAACACCGGUGGCGAAGGCGACCAUCUGGGUCACAACUGACGCUGAGAUGCGAAAGCGUGGGGAGCGAACGGG